rnacentral:rRNA from 1 species
GUCUACGGCCAUACCACCCUGAACGCGCCCGAUCUCGUCUGAUCUCGGAAGCUAAGCAGGUUUGGGCCUAGUUAGUACUUGGAUGGGAGAAUAGUGCAGAACAUG